GGUGAUCAGUGCCAAAACAUGGAAUCAUGCAGUGAACACAGCGUAGGGUCAUGAGUUAGUGGUGGGGACAGUCGUACGUUUAUUGUUCAUGUGUCCAACAGCAGAGGGGAAGAAACUGUUCUUAUGGCGAGAGGUUCUGGUGCGAAUGGACCGGAGCCUCCUGCCUGAGGGGAGCAGGUCAAACAGACUGUAUCCAGGGUGAGAAGGGUCAGCUGAGAUCCAAGCUGCACGCCGCAGUGUCCUGGAGGUGUACAGGUCCUGCAGAGAUGGGAGUUUUGGAUGGAUUUCAAGAAUUUUGAUAACAAAUAAAGGAGUUUUUUAAAUUGGAACUUUGACUUACGUUUUGAACAGCGGGCGCGUCAACAUUAUCCCCGUAUUCAGCUGCUCGGCGACUCAAAGGUUUGACAGUCGCCAAUACCACUCUUGAAAUGAUCUAUGCACUGACUGAAGCAUGUUUGUGGGAAUAUAUGUGAAUGUUUGCUCAUACUAUUCUUAUUAGCACUUGAUAUUAAGUAUUUCAUUGAUUGAUUUUAUUACAUUUUUAUUUUAUUUUAUUUUAUUUUUAUAUUUCUAUUGAUGAUGCAACUGAUCGGAGAGCACUUUUAAUUUUGUUGUACCUGCGACAAUGACAAUAAAGACAUUUUGAUUCUGAUUAUUCUAAAAUUAGGAAAUGUUAUCUUUGCUUUAACUUUUGAGUAUUGUGAUGGACCGAGCAGUGAAGGAACGUCAGGCAAAGGUUAAAGUGCAAAAAAAGUUUUUUUUUUAAUGUGACCCUAAACAUUUUUUUUUUUUUUUACAGAAAAUUCAAAAUCUUGCACACGAAUAGUGUGGGUGUCCAAGAAGAGGAGAAAUUUGUGUCAACUAUAACAAAUGAUUUUGAAUACAUUUUAACAUUACGUUAUCACAUUCCUUUAAAGUUUUUACAUUUGAGCAGACUUGUCCUUUUAUUUCUUGGGAGUAUAAAAGCAGUUUCAGAUGAAACUUGGUCCAGAGACACAAUAGGUAGCUCAGAGGAGGAAUGCGUUUAAAGUAUGACGUCAACUAUCAAGAAUGAUUUUUAAUGAAUUUGUGAAUGUGAUGUGAUUGUUUUGCAUUAACUGUAU
ensembl:lncRNA